GACGAACGCUGGCGGCGUGCCUAAUACAUGCAAGUAGAACGCACAGUUUAUACCGUAGCUUGCUACACCAUAGACUGUGAGUUGCGAACGGGUGAGUAACGCGUAGGUAACCUGCCUGGUAGCGGGGGAUAACUAUUGGAAACGAUAGCUAAUACCGCAUAAUAUUGAUUAUUGCAUGAUAAUUGAUUGAAAGAUGCUAUUGCAUCACUACCAGAUGGACCUGCGUUGUAUUAGCUAGUAGGUGAGGUAACGGCUCACCUAGGCGACGAUACAUAGCCGACCUGAGAGGGUGAUCGGCCACACCGGGACUGAGACACGGCCCAGACUCCUACGGGAGGCAGCAGUAGGGAAUCUUCGGCAAUGGACGAAAGUCUGACCGAGCAACGCCGCGUGAGUGAAGAAGGUUUUCGGAUCGUAAAGCUCUGUUGUAAGAGAAGAACGGGUGUGAGAGUGGAAAGUUCACACUGUGACGGUAUCUUACCAGAAAGGGACGGCUAACUACGUG
rnacentral:rRNA from 1 species